rnacentral:rRNA from 1 species
AUUAAGCCAUGCAUGUCUAAGUAUAAGCAAUUAUACCGUGAAACUGCGAAUGGCUCAUUAAAUCAGUUAUCGUUUAUUUGAUAGUACCUUCCUACUUGGAUAACCGUGGUAAUUCUAGAGCUAAUACAUGCUAAAAACCCCGACUUCGGGAGGGGUGUAUUUAUUAGAUAAAAAACCAAUGCCCUUCGGGGCUCCUUGGUGAAUCAUGAUAACUUAACGGAUCGCAUGGCCUUGCGCCGGCGACGGUUCAUUCAAAUUUCUGCCCUAUCAACUUUCGAUUGUAGGGUAUUGGCCUACAAUGGUUUCAACGGGUAACGGGGAGUUAGGGCUCGACUCCGGAGAGGGAGCCUGAGAAACGGCUACCACAUCCAAGGAAGGCAGCAGGCGCGCAAAUUACCCAAUCCCGACACGGGGAGGUAGUGACAAUAAAUACUGAUACAGGGCUCUUUUGGGUCUUGUAAUUGGAAUGAGUACAAUUUAAAUACCUUAACGAGGAACAAUUGGAGGGCAAGUCUGGUGCCAGCAGCCGCGGUAAUUCCAGCUCCAAUAGCGUAUAUUAAAGUUGUUGCAGUUAAAAAGCUCGUAGUUGAACCUUGGGCCUGGCUGGCCGGUCCGCCUCACCGCGUGCACUGGUCCGGCCGGGCCUUUCCUUCUGGAGAGCCGCAUGCCCUUCACUGGGUGUGUCGGGGAACCAGGACUUUUACUUUGAGAAAAUUAGAGUGUUCAAAGCAGGCCUUUGCUCGAAUACGUUAGCAUGGAAUAAUAGAAUAGGACGUGCGGUCCUAUUUUGUUGGUUUCUAGGACCGCCGUAAUGAUUAAUAGGGAUAGUCGGGGGCAUCAGUAUUCAAUUGUCAGAGGUGAAAUUCUUGGAUUUAUUGAAGACUAACUACUGCGAAAGCAUUUGCCAAGGAUGUUUUCAUUAAUCAGUGAACGAAAGUUAGGGGAUCGAAGACGAUCAGAUACCGUCGUAGUCUUAACCGUAAACUAUGCCGACUAGGGAUCGGGCGAUGUUAUUAUUUUGACUCGCUCGGCACCUUACGAGAAAUCAAAGUUUUG